UACGUAGGGCGCAAGCGUUUAUCCGGAAUUAUUGGGCGUAAAGAGCUCGUAGGCGGUUUGUCGCGUCUGCCGUGAAAGUCCGGGGCUCAACUCCGGAUCUGCGGUGGGUACGGGCAGACUAGAGUGAUGUAGGGGAGACUGGAAUUCCUGGUGUAGCGGUGAAAUGCGCAGAUAUCAGGAGGAACACCGAGUGGCGAAGGCAGGUCUCUGGGCAUUAACUGACGCUGAGGAGCGAAAGCAUGGGGAGCGAACAGG
rnacentral:rRNA from 1 species